GAUUGCAAAUGUGGAAAUAUCGACUGUCUUACCGAUGAAAGACUUGGUAGCUGGGGAGAGCUUCAUCUUAAAUAAAAUAAUAUAAGACUAAAAGUAAAGUAGUUUUAAAAAAGUAAGAUAAAAUGCGGAAGAGCAACCAGUAUUGAU
ensembl:ncRNA ZK652.14 ncRNA